rnacentral:rRNA from 1 species
UACGUAGGGUGCGAGCGUUGUCCGGAAUUACUGGGCGUAAAGAGCUCGUAGGUGGUUUGUCGCGUUGUUCGUGAAAACUCACAGCUCAACUGUGGGCGUGCGGGCGAUACGGGCAGACUGGAGUACUGCAGGGGAGACUGGAAUUCCUGGUGUAGCGGUGGAAUGCGCAGAUAUCAGGAGGAACACCGGUGGCGAAGGCGGGUCUCUGGGCCAAAACUGACGCUGAGGCACGAAGGUCAGGGGAGCAAACGGG